rnacentral:rRNA from 1 species
AGCGAACGCUGGCGGCAGGCCUAACACAUGCAAGUCGAACGAACUCUUCGGAGUUAGUGGCGGACGGGUGAGUAACACGUGGGAACGUGCCUUUAGGUUCGGAAUAACUCAGGGAAACUUGUGCUAAUACCGAAUGUGCCCUUCGGGGGAAAGAUUUAUCGCCUUUAGAGCGGCCCGCGUCUGAUUAGCUAGUUGGUGAGGUAAAGGCUCACCAAGGCGACGAUCAGUAGCUGGUCUGAGAGGAUGAUCAGCCACAUUGGGACUGAGACACGGCCCAAACUCCUACGGGAGGCAGCAGUGGGGAAUCUGGCGCAAUGGGCGAAAGCCUGACGCAGCCAGGCCGCGUGAAUGAUGAAGGUCUUAGGAUUGUAAAAUUCUUUCACCGGGGACGAUAAGGACGGUACCCGGAGAAGAAGCCCCGGCUAACUUCGU